rnacentral:lncRNA from 10 species
CUUGAUCCUGAAUAUGAGGACAAUGGUAAAAUUGCACAAUGUGAGUUACAAUUCUCUUGUGCUCUUUGGAUGAUGUUUUUCUUUUUAUUUAUUUAUUUAUUUAUUUAUUUAUUUUAUUGAUCAUUCUUGGGUGUUUCUCGGAGAGGGGGAUUUGGCAGGGUCAUAGGACAAUAGUGGAGGGAAGGUCAGCAGAUAAACAAGUGAACAAAGGUCUCUGGUUUUCCUAGGCAGAGGACCCUGCGGCCUUCCGCAGUGUUUGUGUCUCUGGGUACUUGAGACUAGGGAGUGGUGAUGACUCUUAACGAGCAUGCUGCCUUCAAGCAUCUGUUUAACAAAGCACAUCUUGCACCGCCCUUAAUCCAUUUAACCCUGAGUGGACACAGCACAUGUUUCAGAGAGCACAUGGUUGGGGGUAAGGUCAUAGAUCAACAGCAUCCCAAGGCAGAAGAAUUUUUCUUAGUACAGAACAAAGUGAAGUCUCCCAUGUCUACUUCUUUCUACACAGACACAGCAACAAUCUGAUUUCUCUAUCUUUUCCCCACCUUUCCCCCUUUUCUAUUCCGCAAAACCGCCAUCGUCAUCAUGGCCCGUUCUCAAUGAGCUGUUGGGUACACCUCCCAGACAGGGUGGUGGCCGGGCAGAGGGGCUCCUCACUUCCCAGAAGGGGCAGCCGGGCAGAGGCGCCCCCCACCUCCCGGACGGGUCAGCUGGCCAGGUGGGGGCUGACCCCCCACCUCCCUCCCGGGCGGGGUGGCUGCCGGGCGGAGACGCUCCUGGCUUCCCAGACGGGGUGGCAGCCGGGCGGAGGGGCUCCUCACUUCUCAGACGGGGCGGCUGCCGGGCGGAGGGGCUUCUCACAUCCCAGACGGGGUCGAGGCCGGGCAGAGGCGCUCCCCACAUCUCAGACGAUGGGCGGCCGGGCAGAGACGCUCCUCACUUCCUAGAUAGGAUGGCGGCCGGGAAGAGGCGCUCCUCACUUCCCAGACUGGGCAGCCGGGCAGAGGGGCUCCUCGCAUCCCAGACGAUGGGCGGCCAGGCAGAGACGCUCCUCACUUCCCAGACGGGGUGGCGGCCGGGCAGAGGCUGCAAUCUCGGCACUUUGGGAGGCCAAGGCAGGCGGCUGGGAGGUGGAGGUUGUAGGGAGCCGAGAUCAUGCCACUGCACUCCAGCCUGGGCAACAUUGAGCACUGAGUGAACGAGACUCUGUCUGCAAUCCCGGCACCUCGGGGGGCUGAGGCUGGCGGAUCACUCGCGGUUAGGAGCUGGAGACCAGCGCGGUUAGGAGCUGGAGACCAGCCCGGCCAACACAGCGAAACCCCGUCUCCACCAAAAAAAUACGAAAACCAGUCAGGCGUGGAGGCGCGCGCCUGCAAUCGCAGGCACUCGGCAGGCUGAGGCAGGAGAAUCAGGCAGGGAGGUUGCAGUGAGCAGAGAUGGUGGCAGCACAGUCCAGCUUUGGCUCGGCAUCAGAGGGAGACCGUGGGGAGAGGGAGAGGAGAGGGAGGGGGAGGGGGAGGGAGAGGGAGAGGGAGAGGGAGAGGGGAUGUUUUCAACUUUAGUUUUUUUUUUGUUUUUUUUUUUGUAGAGUUUCAGAGAGAAAGAGGCGUUUGUAUUGAUUCAAGAGGAUUGAAUCAGAUGGAUUUUCCAUUUAGAAAGCAAAAGAAAAUCAAGACUUCAGCAUUGUGUUUAAAAUGAUGAAGGCAGCCGGGGGCGGUGGCUCAUACCUGUAAUCCCAGCACUUUGGGAGGCUGAGGUGGGCGAAUCACGAGGUCAAGAGAUCGAGACUAU